ACUCCUACGGGAGGCAGCAGUAGGGAAUCUUCCACAAUGGGCGCAAGCCUGAUGGAGCAACACCGCGUGAGUGAAGAAGGGUUUCGGCUCGUAAAGCUCUGUUGUUAAAGAAGAACACGUAUGAGAGUAACUGUUCAUACGUUGACGGUAUUUAACCAGAAAGUCACGGCUAACUACGUGCCAGCAGCCGCGGUAAUACGUAGGUGGCAAGCGUUAUCCGGGAUUUAUUGGGCGUAAAGAGAGUGCAGGUCGGUUUUCUAAGUCUGAUGUGAAAGCCUUCGGCUUAACCGGGGAAGUGUAUCGGAAACUGGAUAACUUGAGUGCAGAAGAGGUAGUGGAACUCCAUGUGUAGCGGUGGAAUGCGUAGAUAUA
rnacentral:rRNA from 1 species